UCCGUGUUAGUAUAUCGGCUAGAAUGUCUGCCUUUCACGCAGAAGAGACGGGUUCGAUUCCCGUACACGGAA
rnacentral:tRNA from 4 species